CCUACGGGGCGCAGCAGUGGGGAAUAUUGGACAAUGGGCGAAAGCCUGAUCCAGCCAUGCCGCGUGUGUGAAGAAGGCCUUCGGGUUGUAAAGCACUUUCAGUGGGGAAGAAAGCCUUGGGGCUAAUACCCUCGAGGAAGGACAUCACCCACAGAAGAAGCACCGGCUAACUCCGUGCCAGCAGCCGCGGUAAUACGGAGGGUGCGAGCGUUAAUCGGAAUUACUGGGCGUAAAGCGCGCGUAGGCGGUCUGAUAAGCCGGUUGUGAAAGCCCCGGGCGCAACCUGGGAACGGCAUCCGGAACUGUCAGGCUAGAGUGCAGGAGAGGAAGGUAGAAUUCCCGGUGUAGCGGUGAAAUGCGUAGAGAUCGGGAGGAAUACCAGUGGCGAAGGCGGCCUUCUGGACUGACACUGACGCUGAGGUGCGAAAGCGUGGGUAGCAAACAGGAUUAGAUACCCCUGUAGUC
rnacentral:rRNA from 1 species